AACGAGCAAAGAAAGAAGUGACAAGCAAGAAAUGUUCCAUUACUGCUCCAGCCACAUCCAUGACUCCUUUGCCUUUUUCCCUGCUGUAGCUUGUGAAAUUGAUGCAACAGAUGGAAGAGCUACCUUGCUCAGGGG